AGCAUUCAAUUUUUUUCCCCAACUCUGAUUUCCGUUGACGGCAUCCGCAUCCUCACCAUUAGAAUCCCCACUGCCUGAAGCAAUAACCUCAUCUGCCACACCCUCAAAUUCCUCUCCGGGCACCACCCUUGCUCUCUUAGUCUCCGGAUAAUCAUCCAAUCCCGCUUCCGAAACCCUAACCUCGGUCGUUCUAUCAGCUAUUCUCACCCCUUCAGCGAACUCCCUAGGGUUUUGGUCCUCAGAGGAGGAGAGAUGAGAAUGGGUGUGAUGCUCCGGCGGGGUGUGGAACACUGCGUCUUCUUCCGGCAUAAGUUGAUCGGCCGUGUUCGCGCUUCCGGGCGCCGAAACCAUGACGAUUUGCUCGGGCGUUUCCUCCGGCGACGGCGAAAACUGGUCGGGGUUCGACUCCAUAAUAGUGUCGGAUUCCCGCGCAAACGGGCAGUUGGGGAAUUUCUCAUUCUGCGAAUCGAUUGGCUCGCAGAGUUUAAUUAGCGACUGAAAGGGAUCUUGUUGGAUCUCUGCUGCGUCCAUAUCAAUGGUCAAUUGUGACUGUGUGAGUGCGCAUUUGAGCUGAGAGAGGUUAGGGUUGUAUUGUAUUGCCAAAAAUUUGGGGCCUUUUUGCUUUACCAGAGAUUCCCGCCUCCGUAUUUGCCUUCUUUUUCGCUACUCUGCUCCUCUUAUCUAUUUUUCAAGGAAUAUCAAUUAGGAGUAUUCAAUAUUUAAGCAUAUUUUUUAAAAAUAUUUACAACAUUUCUUUUACUAGAACUUUACAUUAUGUUAUCAUUAAAAUACUUUAUAAAAUUUUAUUUUUCUCGAAAAAUCAACUGAAACUGCCGAUAAUGGAGGCGAACAAGGUCAAAGGCACGGUGGGAAAAGGAUUAAUCAUGACAUCUAUUUUUCGACACCAAAAAGUUUGAUUCAAGACAUUUUUGUGAAAAUAUUAAAUAAUUACUAUUAAUAUCUUUUUUAGAAUAAAAUUUCUAUUAAUAUCUAAUUAGAAUAUAUAAUCAUUUGUUUAUCAUUUAUCUUUUUAUUAAUUAUUAAUUCAUUAUUAGAGUUGAUUAGUUCAAAGUUAAUUUUUAAAAUAAAAUUUUAAUAUAAUUUAUAAUAUUAUAAUAAAAUUUAUUUUUUAAAAAGAUAUUAAUAAAACAAUAAAUAUAAUAAUAAAAUAUAACGAGGAACAACACACAAAUUAUGAGACGUCGGUGUUCAAAAUUGUUGAAUAUGUGAGAGAAACUUCAAUAUAUUAAUUUAAAGCCGAUCCAAUUUGUUUAUAGUGUCACAAAAACUAGCAAGGAAUUGUUUAACCCUGAAAAAAGGAUUUUUUUGUUGUUGCAUGACUAUCUUUUGAGAAAUUUGCUUCUUAGUUCUUAUGAUCAUAUAGUUUCUUAGGAGAAACGCUUAGCUAUUUUCUUUGAUUAUGAAAAUUAUUCAUUUUAGAUCGAAUAUAAAAAUCAUUUCAUUUUUAUCAAGACUAAGGCGAGAAGAAAGAGGGAGGGGAUUGAGCCACGUGUCUUCUGUUAUACAGCAAAUGGUCCUUUUCAUCUUUGACUUGCUAUUGCUCCAUCUUGCAAAUUAUUUGCCUUAAUCGCUAUUUAAUUUAGACAAAAAGCAUUGCUAAUAACAAACAAAAUUUCUACAAAAUCAGAAACCCUAGGUUUUGGGAUGACAUAUAACCCUAAAAAAAAAAAAAAAGAGUAGUGCUAUUGGUAUAAAUUUUAUCUAGAUAAAAUGUGGUUAAAUAAUAAAUUCAUUUAAAAAUUUUGGUUCAAAAUAAAAAAGAUUUUAGUUAAUUCAUUAUUUUCUCCACAUUGUAGUUUUUUUUUUGUANAAUCAUCAUUUCACCGAUUCCACCCACUUUCCCCCCCCUUCGCACUCUCAUAUGUUGCUGUCCGAAUUUGGGGGCGACCAUUGGUUAUGCCGAAGAAGGAUAAUUUUGUCUGAGAAGAAUCAUAGUAUCUGGAACACUGUUCACAGCCGGCUCAGAGACAAGCUAUCCAAGGAUACAAACAUCGUAUUAGUCUACAUAACUUUCCUAUCGACACCUAAAUGCAAAAGAGGAAUUGUUUCACCAAGCAUUGAUGGAUUAAAUAAUCUAACCAGUUUGUACCAACCGCCAAACAGGAAAAAACAGAAUUUCAAACUUUACACUGACUUUGUGCACAUUGAAAGCCGACUCCCCAUGCAUUUACAACAACAUACAAAACAAAAAGUGAAGAAAUGAGGAUCAAAACUUGUUCACCACCAAAUUGUGAAAGCCACAUUUUUAAAAGUCCUCACCAGGAGGAGGCCACCAUCUUGGCCUCGGAAACUUGAUACCCUUCCUCUCAGCAGUCUCUAUAAAGUCUGCUUUCCCAUCCUCAAAGCCAAAAACAGUACUGAGCCUAUUCACCAACUCCACCCAUCCUUGAUCACUCUUCUUAGGCGAACCUUCCACAACGUCCGAUGGUGGCAAUGGACUUGCCCUUCUCUCCUCACUACUCUUCUCAUCCACAACGUCCUCGUCUUUCCCUACCAUCGAUGCUGGCAAUUGACGCUCUCUUCUCCCGUCACCUCCCUCAGCGCUAUACCUGAACUCCUCAAUUCUUUUAGCACUGUGUUUGAGCUUCGCGACAUCCCUCUCAAUUUCAACACUCGAAUCACUCUUGUCGCAUCUAGCCACCUCCAUGCCCGUGGCAUAUUCAAUUUUCUCCCCAAACCCAUCAAUGGCAACACCGUCUUUCAUCAAGCCACCUAAUGAACCUUCAGCCAUUUUAGAAUCCCUACUGCCUAAAGCAAUAACCUCAUCUCCCUCAGUCUCAUCCAACUCUGUUUCCCCUAACGGAACUGUUUCCUCCAUAGGAACUGUUUCAUCAUCACAUUCCCUCUCAAUUUUACAACUGUCCAAACUCCGGCUUGAAUCAGUCACCCCAAUGCCCUUGGAGCAUUCAAUUUUUUUCCCCAACUCGUGAUUUCCGUUGACGGCAUCCGCAUCCUCACCAUUAGAAUCCCCACUGCCUGAAGCAAUAACCUCAUCUGCCACACCCUCAAAUUCCUCUCCGGCCACCACCCUUGCUCUCUUAGUCUCCGGAUAAUCAUCCAAUCCCGCUUCCAAAACCCUAACCUCGGUCGUUCUAUCAGCUAUUCUCACCCCUUCAGCGAACUCCCUAGGGUUUUGGUCCUCAGAGGAGGAGAGAUGAGAGUGGGUGUGAUGCUCCGGCGGGGUGUGGAACACUGCGUCUUCUUCCGGCAUAAGUUGAUCGGCCGUGUUCGCGCUUCCGGGCGCCGAAACCAUGACGAUUUGCUCGGGCGUUUCCUCCGGCGACGGCGAAAACUGUCGGGGUUCGACUCCAUAAUAGUGUCGGAUUCCCGCGCAAACGGGCAUUGGGGGAAUUUCUCAUUCUGCGAAUCGAUUGGCUCGCAGAGUUUAAUUAGCGACUGAAAGGGAUCUUGUUGGAUCUCUGCUGCGUCCAUAUCAAUGGUCAAUUGUGACUGUGUGAGUGCGCAUUUGAGCUGAGAGAGGUUAGGGUUGUAUUGUAUUGCCAAAAAUUUGGGGCCUUUUUGCUUUACCAGAGAUUCCCGCCUCCGUAUUUG
rnacentral:lncRNA from 1 species